GACGAACGCUGGCGGCGCGCCUAACACAUGCAAGUCGAACGAGAGAGAAGGAGCUUGCUUCUUCGAUCGAGUGGCGAACGGGUGAGUAACGCGUGAGGAACCUGCCUCAAAGAGGGGGACAACAGUUGGAAACGACUGCUAAUACCGCAUAAGCCCACGGGUCGGCAUCGAUCUGAGGGAAAAGGAGUGAUCCGCUUUGAGAUGGCCUCGCGUCCGAUUAGCUAGUUGGUGAGGUAAUGGCCCACCAAGG
rnacentral:rRNA from 1 species